GAUGAACGCUGGCGGCGUGCUUAACACAUGCAAGUCGAACGGAAAGGCUCCUGCUUGCAGGGGUACUCGAGUGGCGAACGGGUGAGUAACACGUGGGUGAUCUGCCCUGCACUUCGGGAUAAGCCUGGGAAACUGGGUCUAAUACCGGAUAGGACGUUGGUUUGGAUGCCAUUGUGGAAAGUUUUUUCGGUGUGGGAUGGGCUCGCGGCCUAUCAGCUUGUUGGUGGGGUAAUGGCCUACCAAGGCGUCGACGGGUAGCCGGCCUGUGAGGGUGUACGGCCACAUUGGGACUGAGAUACGGCCCAGACUCCUACGGGAGGCAGCAGUGGGGAAUAUUGCACAAUGGGCGGAAGCCUGAUGCAGCAACGCCGCGUCCGGGAUGACGGCCUUCGGGUUGUAAACUGCUUUCGCCUGGGACGAAGCGCAAGUGACGGUACCUGGAGAAGAAGCACCGGCUAACUACGUG
rnacentral:rRNA from 1 species